rnacentral:rRNA from 1 species
CCUACGGGCGGCAGCAGUAGGGAAUAUUGCUCAAUGGGGGAAACCCUGAAGCAGCAACGCCGCGUGGAGGAUGAAGGUUUUCGGAUUGUAAACUCCUUUUGUUAGAGAAGAUAAUGACGGUAUCUAACGAAUAAGCACCGGCUAACUCCGUGCCAGCAGCCGCGGUAAUACGGAGGGUGCAAGCGUUACUCGGAAUCACUGGGCGGAAAGAGCGCGUAGGCGGGAUAGCAAGUCAGAUGUGAAAUCCUAUGGCUUAACCAUAGAACUGCAUUUGAAACUGUUAUUCUAGAGUAUGGGAGAGGUAGGUGGAAUUCUUGGUGGAGGGGUAAAAUCCGUAGAGAUCAAGAGGAAUACUCAUUGCGAAGGCGACCUGCUAGAACAUAACUGACGCUGAUGCGCGAAAGCGUGGGGAGCAAACAGGAUUAGAUACCCCAGUAGUC